rnacentral:tRNA from 1 species
GGGCUCGUAGCUCAGUUGGUUAGAGCGCGUCCCUGAUAAGGACGAGGUCACGUGUUCGAAUCACGUCGGGCCCA